AUUGAACGCUGGCGGCAGGCUUAACACAUACAAGUCGAGCGGAGAUGAGGUGCUUGCACCUUAUCUUAGCGGCGGACGGGUGAGUAAUGCUUAGGAAUCUGCCUAUUAGUGGGGGACAACAUUCCGAAAGGAAUGCUAAUACCGCAUACGUCCUACGGGAGAAAGCAGGGGAUCUUCGGACCUUGCGCUAAUAGAUGAGCCUAAGUCGGAUUAGCUAGUUGGUGGGGUAAAGGCCUACCAAGGCGACGAUCUGUAGCGGGUCUGAGAGGAUGAUCCCCACACUGGGACUGAGACACGGCCCAGACUCCUACGGGAGGCAGAAGUGGGGAAUAUUGGACAAUGGGGGGAACCCUGAUCCAGCCAUGCCGCGUGUGUGAAGAAGGCCUUAUGGUUGUAAAGCACUUUAAGCGAGGAGGAGGCUACUGAGACUAAUACUCUUGGAUAGUGGACGUUACUCGCAGAAUAAGCACCGGCUAACUCUGUGCCAGCCGCCGCCGUAA
rnacentral:rRNA from 1 species